UAACCCUUAUUCUCACACCCUCUCUCCCUAUUCUCACAAACACAAAUUAUCUUCUCCUCCUUCUCUCAAAGAUCGAACUUCACUUUCUCCCAUGAAUACCAUAACAAAUUCAUAGCUUGUUGAAGAACAUCAAGAACAAUUUCAAAAAGAAACUCAAGAACUUACAUCUUCCUCUCACGGUAGAACCGAGACGCACCUCUUUCCUCCACAAACCGCCAUCGAAGCCCUCAGGGUUAGCAACAGGAUUUUACCUCCGACUACCAACCACACAGAAUUCCAGCUAAGUAUUUUUUUUAAUAAUAAUUUUUAUUAUUUUUAUGCAUCAACAAUUUUGCUUAUUUUCUUUUCCUUUCUUUUUUUUUAUUAUAACUUUUUUAUUUAUAUUUUUAUAAAAUAAUUUCUAUAGUAAAUUUUAAUCAUUAAUAUUUAACCGAAAACCCGAUUUUUCACAAAUAAUUGUUUUCUCUCUCUCUCUCUCUCUAUAUAUAUAUAUAUAUAUAUAUAUAUAUAUAUAUAUAUUAAAAUUCGAAUAUACUUUUAAUUAAUUGAUAAAUUAGGAUUAACCUUUAUGUUUAUUUUAACCCUUGUUCUAUUUAAUUGAUUUCUUAGCCUUUUCAUUAACCUUUCAAGGUUUCCGUAACAUCAUUUAUUUUUUAUUAUUAUUUGUCUUUUGGGUCACAAUAAAUUUUCUUUUAUUUUUUUUAAUCCAUUAAGGGUUGUAGAUCCUUCAUACACUAAAAUUAUUUUCUUUUAUGCAAAUUUUCAGGGUUAAUCAGUAUCCUCCGACUACGCGCCAUGGCAAUUGAAAAGCUAAGUUUCCAAUCUUUGUUUUAUUUUAUUUAAAUAUUAUUUUCUUUUUGCCUUUUGCCCAAAAUAGGGUUUGCUUCGAAUAGUCAAUACACUCACCCCUUAUUUAUUUUCCUCUUAAUUUGCAGAGUCAACCAAGGGUUUGAGGAAGAUCAAGGCAUUCAAUAUACACAAAUUAAUUAUUGCCCUCUAUUAUUUUCUGCUUUUCCCCUUUCCCGCAGGUGUUUAUUGUAAUAGCGUAGGAAUUUUAUUUUCUGCUUUUAUUUUAUUUUAACUGCGUGGUUAGUAAAAUAGGGAGUGCAAGAUUAUGAAUUAAACGUAGAUCACCUAACUACAAGAUAAAUGUCAUCGAAGUUAACACAUGAUUGUUGCACCCACACACCUUUAGGGUAACCCCUCUUGUUGCCUUAUACUGUUGCCUGCCUAUAUUGUUGCCUAUGCCUUAAUUAUUGUUGCCUUUAAAUGGUCAAGUCCCUCGAUCCCGAGGAUACCUAAAGCAAACGUUGCCUUCAAAGUUAUUGAAACUCCCUCGAUGUUGCCUUAUAAAAACAACUGUCCCAAUUGCUAAGGUAUCCUCGCCUGUUGCCUAAAGAUUAAAUGACUAUUAUAUCCUUCCCUUAGACUACCUGCCCUCUUUAUGGCAAGGGACAGUCUUAUGGCGAACGAUACUCUCGAUGACCCUUAACAUCCAAUUGAAAGACUUCCUACCCUCUUAUGGUAUGGAUAGACACUUUCGCCCGAAAGGCUAAAAGAACGAUUUUUUUCUAAACUUAGGGUAAGUAGCUUUUAAAUUGCUUGCUCAAUUCAAACUUAAAAUUCAAAAUCUUUUUCCCACUCUUUUCAAAAUCAAAAAGACUACGCUUAUUUACAAGCUAAAGUUCUUCUUCAAAGUUUUUACUUUUCACACCUCCUUUGAAACAAUUCAAACAAAGUGAGCUAAGCAAUUAAGAGCCCAUGGAAAACCAUGGAUGCAAAGGGUGCCUUACACCUUCCCUUUGCAUAAAUUACCCCCCGAACUCAAAAUCUUUUUAAAAGGUCUUUUUCUGUUCUUUUAGCCUUUCCAAUUGGAUAAAAUAAAAGUCGGUGGCGACUCAUGCUUAACCGCGACAUUUUUCAAUUAUAAAAAGUCAGUUCACCGUAUUACAGUAGGCUAAAAGGUGACUAAAGACCUGUUCCUAUGUUUAUAAGAAACCUGAUGGGUCCUUGUAUACAAGCUCAAGAGGAAGCUGGAAAUGCUUUUAAGAAGCCUGUGGGUCCUUGUACAAAGCCCAAGAGGAGGCUAAUCGAGGGUCCUUGUUAUAGCACAAGAGAAAGCUUAUGUAGUUUUGAACUUAUUUUGGCUCUAAGCAAAUGGGUAAGAGGUUUCACCGGGAAUAAUUCCUCUUUGGGUGGAUGUGUCCUAUUACUUUUGGAUUCUAAGGUUUUUGCCAAGAUGUUUCACCGGGAAUAAUUCAUCUUGGGGGUUUGAACUACAGAUCUCUAAUUAGGAAAGAGCCUUCACCGGGAAGACAUUCUCAAUCCUAGUAAUUUAAACAAAGACUGUAAAUUGAAAGCUUGUAAAGCCUAACCUGGAUGGAGUGGAGGCCAUUGAAGAAAAGAAGUGAAGAUGGACAAAGGUCACAUAGGUAUCUGAAGAGUUUCACCGGGAAUAAUGCCCUUCAAAUACCAGAAGAAUGUUUUUGAAAACAGAAAGAAGAUUUUGAAAAUACAGUUUUGAAAACAAGCUAAGAAGAGAAGGUUUUUGGGACUUACACUCUAUUAGAGGCCCACUUAAAAAUGAUUUACUGUUUAUGAAAACAGUUGAAGAAAAGAUUGAAAUGAUAUAAGGUUUUGUUGUUUGAAAACCUUAAUCAUAUGUUUAAUCGGAGAUUGAAAACAAUUUUGUAGAUUGACAAAAGUCAACUUAAUUAAGGCAAAGAUGAAAUCUAUACCUAAUUAAGACCUAAAUAAAUAGGGUUUUUAUCAUAACAUUAUUCACAAAGUAAUUAGGUUAAAACAAAAUGAAUAUAUAUAUUUUAAAGUAUUUAAGAAAACAUUUAAAACAUACUAUUUUAAACCUAAUUAAAAUACAUGAAAUAAAUAAUAUUUUUAUGAUUUUUUUUGAUUAUUUAUAAAAUAUAUAUAUUAAUCAACAAGUGUUUAAAAAAUGAAGUCAAAAUGAAUUAAUUUGAUAAGUUAAAUAAUUGGUUAAAGUUGUGAAGGAAUUAAGUUAGAAAAGUGAUAAAAAAAUAGGUUUUGGUCCUAGCAAGGCUUGAACUCACGCCCUUAUAGCCACACACUCAAAACAACACCACUGAUCCAAACGCCAGUUGGUGACUAUAACGCGCGCGCAUUUGGUUUUGUUUUAAAACAAGUUAGAAAAAUCUGAAAAAAAUAAAAGGAUGAAAAAGUCUGGGGCGAGGGGGAUUCGAACCCCAGACUUGUGGCAUGAUGAUACUAAGGGCGCAUGUGUGGCCACUAGGGCAAGUUGUUUAGUCGUUAAUAAAACGCAUACCAUUCAAAAUAAAAUAAAACCUGCCCUGAGAUUUCAAAUUUGCGCGCCACCACCAUCUUCGUCUUCAACCUCAAACUCUCCAUUUUUGGAUUUCUGAACUCACUUGUUUCUCAACCAUUUGUCAUGAUGUAAACACGAAACUUGCUCUAAUUUCACUCACGAUUCUAAAUAUGUAACUAACAUGAACUAUCAUUAACUACAUCUAACUAAUUUAUCAGAAAUCGUGAAGAACCCUAAAAUUUCAAAAUCAAAUUAAAUGACUAUACUGAAAGAUAAAUGGAUGAUGAUAGAGGGUUUUCAAUCCUCUGAUGAUGCUGAACAAGAUAGAA